CCCUUGGUUUCUUUCUCAACACAAAGGAAACUCUCACUGACUUGACAUGUUCUGGUUUUGAAUUCAGGCUACAAGGGGUCAUUGCUCGAAAAUUAGUCUCUCUGGGGAGAGAGAGGAGGGCGGCCAUGCCUCUAAAAUUAGUCUCUCUGGGGAGAGAGAGGAGGGCGGCCAUGCCUCUAAAAUUAGUCUCUCUGGGGAGAGGGAGGAGGGCGGCCAUGCCUCUAAAAUGAGUCUCUCUGCGGAACAUGACACCAACGUUAAGAGGAUCCAUUUUGAGACGACAGAGCAGAAAACACUAUAUGGAGAGAACUGAAAAAUAAACAAACCAGGGUCACACUCCAACACGCAGACACCAUUUAAAAACAAGGCAAUUGUGUUUAGUGCCAGAGCGCUAAGAACCUUGGCGUGAUCCUGGACAACACCCUGUCGUUCUCAACUAACAUCAAGGCGGUGGCCCGUUCCUGUAGGUUCAUGCUCUACAACAUCCGCAGAGUACGCCCCUGCCUCACACAGGAAGCGGCGCAGGUCCUAAUCCAGGCACUUGUCAUCUCCCGUCUGGAUUACUGCAACUCGCUGUUGGCUGGGCUCCCUGCCUGUGCCAUUAAACCCCUACAACUCAUCAAGAACGCCGCAGCCCGUCUGGUGUUCAACCUUCCCAAGUUCUCUCACGUCACCCCGCUCCUCCGCUCUCUCCACUGGCUUCCAGUUGAAGCUCGCAUCCGCUACAAGACCAUGGUGCUUGCCUACGGAGCUGUGAGGGGAACGGCACCGCAGUACCUCCAGGCUCUGAUCAGGCCCUACACCCAAACAAGGGCACUGCGUUCAUCCACCUCUGGCCUGCUCGCCUCCCUACCACUGAGGAAGUACAGUUCCCGCUCAGCCCAGUCAAAACUGUUUGCUGCUCUGGCCCCCCAAUGGUGGAACAAACUCCCUCACGACGCCAGGACAGCGGAGUCAAUCACCACCUUCCGGAGACACCUGAAACCCCACCUCUUCAAGGAAUACCUAGGAUAGGAUAAAGCAAUCCUUCUCACCCCCCCCCCCCCUUAAAUGAUUUAAUAGAUGCACUAUUGUAAAGUGGCUGUUCCACUGAUGUCAGAAGGUGAAUUCACCAAUUUGUAAGUCGCUCUGGAUAAGAGCGUCUGCUAAAUGACUUAAAUGUAAAUGUAAAUGUAGUGAGUCCUCCAGAUCAGAGGCAGUAGGGAUGACCAGGGAUGUUCUCUGUUUAGUGAGUCCACCAGAUCAGAGGCAGUAGGGAUGACCAGGGAUGUUCUCUGUUUAGUGAGUCCUCCAGAUCAGAGGCAGUAGGGAUGACCAGGGAUGUUCUCUGUUUAGUGAGUCCUCCAGAUCAGAGGCAAUAGAGACGACCAGGGAUGUUCUCUGUUUAGUGAGUCCUCCAGAUCAGAGGCAGUAGAGACGACCAGGGAUGUUCUCUGUUUAGUGAGUCCUCCAGAUCAGAGGCAGUAGGGAUGACCAGGGUUGUUCUCUGUUUAGUGAGUCCUCCAGAUCAGAGGCAGUAGGGAUGACCAGGGAUGUUCUCUGUUUAGUGAGUCCUCCAGAUCAGAGGCAGUAGGGAUGACCAGGGUUAUUCUCUUGAUAAGUGUGUGAAUUCGACCAUUUUCUGUCCUGCUAAGCAUUCAAAAUGUAAGGAGUACUUUGGGUGUCAGGGAAAAUGUAAAAAAAAAAGACAUAAUUUUCUUUAUGAAUGUAGUGAAGUAAAAGUAAAAGUUGUUAAAAAUAUCAAUAUUAAAGUGAAGGACAGAUUCCCCCAAAAAACUACUUAAGUAGUACUUUAAAGUAUUUUACACCACUGCAUUAGAAGACAGAUACAUGUGUUGAUUUGAAGGAAAGACUCAGAUUCUGGUAGGUCGGAUACGAACUAUUAUAAAGUUCGGUCGUCGUCAGACAUUCAACAGUCACAGUAGGUUUGAGCUACAGUCUGAUCACUAAUCAUGCCGACCAACCUGAUGGUCUCUGUUGGAAAUGUUGUGAAAAGAAUCUGGCCUCGGCUACAAAUAUCUGGCAUUACUCAUCUCAUAUGUAUAUACUGUAUUCUAUACUAUUCUCCUGUAUCUUAGUCUAUGUAUUACUCAUCUCAUAUGUAUAUACUGUAUUCUAUACUAUUCUACUGUAUCUUAGUCUAUGCAUUACUCUUCUCAUACUGUUCUGCUGUGUCUUAGUCUAUGCUGCUCAGACAUUGUGACCAAUAACAUUUGACUUGAUUUAGAUUACACUAUAUUAUUUGAUUUUAUUUAGAUUAGGCUAUAUAUACACACAACAUGACCAAAAGUAUGUGGACACCUGCUCGUCGAACAUCUCAUUCCAAAAUCAUAGGCAUUCCUAUGGAGUUGGUCCCCCUUUUGCUGCUAUAACAUUUCAUGAAGCUUCCGACGAACAGUUAUUUUGCUGACGUUGCAUUUUGGAACUUGGUAUUGAGUGUUGCAGCCGAGGACAGACCGUUUUUAUGCACUUCCGCACUCGGCGGGCCUGUUCUGUGAACUUGUGUGGCCUACCACUUCACGGUUGAGCCGUUGUUGCUCCUAAAUGUUUCCACUUCACUUCACUUCACAUCCUAUUUCUUCACAGUUGAGCCGUUGUAGAUGUAGAUUGCAUGGCGGUCUGCUCGAUUUUAUACACCUGUCAGCAACGGGUGUGGCUGAAAUAGCCGAAUCCACUAAUUUGAAGGGGUGUCCACAUACUUCUGUAUAUAUAUAGUGGACAUUCUCUGUCCUGCUACUGGUAGGACUAUAACAUUAUGUGAACUGAUCUGAACAGGUUUAGGCUGGUCAUCUAUGAUAUGUAGGUUAUAUACAGUACAUUCUCUGUACUGCUACUGGUAGGACUAUAACAUUAUGUGAACUGAUCUGAACAGGUUUAGACUGGUCAUCUAUGAUAUGUAGGCUAUAUCCGAGGUAUAGACCUUGAUCUGCAUAUCACUACCAAACUACUAUUAUACAUUAUACCCUAGUCUACUUUACAUAAUAUAACAUCUACAUAUCACUAACAAACUGCUAUUAUACAUUAUAACCUAGUCAACUUUACAUAAUAUAACAUCUACAUAUCACUAACAACCCACUACUAUACAUUAUAACCUAGUCUACUAUACAUAAUAUAACAUAUCACUAACAGCCCACUACUAUACAUUAUAACCUAGUCUACUUUACAUAAUAUAACAUCUACAUACCACUAACAACCCACUACUAUACAUUAUAACCUAGUCUACUUUACAUAAUAUAACAUCUACAUACCACUAACAACCCACUACUAUACAUUAUAACCUAGUCUACUUUACAUAAUAUAACAUCUACAUACCACUAACAACCCACUACUAUACAUUAUAACCUAGUCUACUUUACAUAAUAUAACAUCUACAUAUCACUAACAGCCCACUGCUAUACAUUAUAACCUAGUCUACUUUACAUAAUAUAACAUCUACAUAUCACUAACAACCCACUACUAUACAUUAUAACCUAGUCUACUUUACAUAAUAUAACAUAUCACUAACAACUCACUACUAUACAUUAUAACCUAGUCUACUUUACAUAAUAUAACAUCUACAUAUCACUAACAACCCACUACUAUACAUUAUAACCUAGUCUACUUUACAUAAUAUCACUAACAACCCACUACUAUACAUUAUAACCUAGUCUACUUUACAUAAUAUAACAUCUACAUAUCACUAACAACCCACUAUUAUACAUUAUAACCUAGUCUACUUUACAUAAUAUAACAUCUACAUAUCACUAACAACCCACUACUAUACAUUAUAACCUAGUCUACUUUACAUAAUAUAACAUCUACAUAUCACUAACAUCCCACUACUAUACAUUAUAACCUAGUCUACUUUACAUAAUAUAACAUAUCACUAACAACCCACUACUAUACAUUAUAACCUAGUCUACUUUACAUAAUAUAACAUCUACAUAUCACUAACAACCCACUACUAUACAUUAUAACCUAGUCUACUUUACAUAAUAUAACAUACCACUAACAACCCACUACUAUACAUUAUAACCUAGUCUACUUUACAUAAUAUAACAUCUACAUAUCACUAACAACCCACUACUAUACAUUAUAACCUAGUCUAC